GAUGAAGAACGUAGCGAAAUGCGAUAAGUAAUGUGAAUUGCAGAAUUCAGUGAAUCAUCGAAUCUUUGAACGCACAUUGCGCCCCCUGGUAUUCCGGGGGGCAGGCCUGUUCGAGCGUCAUUUCACCACUCAAGCCUCGCUUGGUAUUGGGCAACGCGGUCCGCCGCGUGCCUCAAAUCGACCGGCUGGGUCUUCUGUCCCCUAAGCGUUGUGGAAACUUUCGCUAAAGGGUGUUCGGGAGGCUACGCCGUAAAACAACCCCAUUUCUAAGGUUGACCUCGGAUCAGGUAGGGAUACCCGCUGAACUUAAGCAUAUCAAUAAGCGGAGGA
rnacentral:misc_RNA from 1 species